rnacentral:rRNA from 1 species
GAUGAACGCUAGCGAUAGGCUUAACACAUGCAAGUCGAGGGGCAGCAUGGUCUUAGCUUGCUAAGACUGAUGGCGACCGGCGCACGGGUGCGUAACGCGUAUGCAACUUGCCUCACAGAAGGGGAUAACCCGUCGAAAGACGGACUAAUACCGCGUACACUUGGGAUAGGGCAUCCUGACCCAAGGAAAUGAAAUUCGCUGUGAGAUAGGCAUGCGUCCCAUUAGCUAGUUGGUGAGGUAACGGCUCACCAAGGCGACGAUGGGUAGGGGAACUGAGAGGUUGAACCCCCACACUGGUACUGAGACACGGACCAGACUCCUACGGGAGGCAGCAGUGAGGAAUAUUGGUCAAUGGGCGAGAGCCUGAACCAGCCAAGUCGCGUGAAGGAUGACUGUCUUAUGGAUUGUAAACUUCUUUUAUACGGGAAUAACAAGAGCCACGUGUGGCUCCCUGCAUGUACCGUAUGAAUAAGCAUCGGCUAACUCCGUG